UAUCAAAACUCGGUUAUUGGUUUCGUAGUUGCGCAUAUCAAAAGUCUCUCACUUCAUCCCCUUUUAUAUUAAGUUCUGUUGAUCCAUUGUUCUACUUCAAUUCAACCAUUAUAAAUUAGAUCUCAGUUUUACACUUCAAUUCAAAAAUAAAUUCAGAUCGAUCGAAGCGAUGAACCUCCCUCUCCGCCCCCGUUUCCUCCUAGAAUGUUUGCGCUAGGCGAUGAACCUGUCGGCGUUAGGGUUACUCCUUACCACAAACCUACAUGCAUUCGGAAAAUUCUCAACGCCCUCGAACCAGAUGAAGCUCAGACUAUCAGGGAGACCCAGUUCGGAAAGCUUGUCGAAAUUGCAGACAAACCCUCAUUUUCUGGCCGGUUUGGUCGGUUCCUGUUAUCCCGACAAUUGAAGGUGGCGAAGAAGCACGAAGUUCGGUUUCCAUUUGCUGGCAAACCGGUUAGAUUCUCACUUAGAGAAUUCGCUCUAGUUUCAGGGCUUAAUUGCCGCAGUUAUCCACCCCAUUCCAAGAAGAAGAGCAAGAACAUAUCGGAGAAGCCAUAUUGGGGAGAGCUUUUCGGGUCGAUGACAGAAGUCCCGGUUAGCUAUGUAAUUACCAUGCUAAAGAAGAAGACCGUAUCUGAUAAAGACACGAGGAUCAAGUAUGCCCUACUUGCAUUGUUGUGCGCAGUCAUUCUCCCAACAUCUCACAAUCCUCGCAUCUUGCCACAACACGCGGAGAAGAUAAAAUAUAUGGAUGAGUUCAUCUUGCCACAACACGUAUCUGAUAAAGACACGAGGAUCAAUUUCAAUACCCAAUCGUGAGGCUGAAGAAGUCCAUGAGGGUGACGGACCGACAAUACAUGUGGAGAAGACAUGAUUCCAGUUACCGACAAUCGUGAGGCUGAAGAAAUCCUGAGGGUGAUGGGACCAAUAAUACAUGUGGAGAAGACAUGGAAAUACAUCCUCGUUAGUUUCAGAAUCGUCCAAAUUUAUAUUUGGAUUUUGAAAUACUAAUAUUAGCAACAAUACACUCCACACUACCUACAUUGCUACGACUGUACUUAGCUUCUAUUCAUAAAGAUUGCAGACACCAUGUUUUGUUUGGACAGUCAAUGACG